GGUCGUCCACGACCGAGACGCAAAUGCCGCAAUAAACCUAAAGAUCAUGGCCGUGAGUUCCACGGUGUCAGUCUGUGGAGAGGAAGGCGCUGGCCGCCGUCGCAAGACGGUGGCGAAACCAGCCUCAGUGAAGCAGAAAGUCAGCUUUGUUCCUGUUUGAGCAGGAAUGAGCAAGUCUGACGGAACGGUGUAUGGGUUUCGACAGGGCGUCGUGCAUAGGGGCGCAGGCAACCCGUCAGGCGAUUGACGUAAAUGAAGCAAAUCCAUAGACGCCAACGAUGAGCGUUUUGCACUGGCCGCCUUAGGCCAAUGCCGGGGCCGCUGAAGCCUUGUAGACCAAGACAGCCGGUGGGGACUUCGGUCCCCAUUGUCA
rnacentral:tmRNA from 1 species